UUGGGUAAAAUUAAUGUAGGACCUAUAUUUUGGAAAUGGAACCCACAUAAAGUGGUGGAACAUAUAUUGAUUUUAUCCAA
rnacentral:pre_miRNA from 1 species